rnacentral:rRNA from 1 species
AUUGAACGCUGGCGGCAGGCCUAACACAUGCAAGUCGAACGAGUGGCGGACGGGUGAGUAAUGUCUGGGAAACUGCCCGAUGGAGGGGGAUAACUACUGGAAACGGUAGCUAAUACCGCAUACCAUCGGAUGUGCCCAGAUGGGAUUAGCUUGUAGGUGUGGUAACGGCUCACCUAGGCGACGAACCCUAGCUGGUAUGAGAGGAUGACCAUCCACAUUGGAAAUGAGACACGGUCCAGACUCCUACGGGAGGAAGCAGUGGGGAAUAGUGCACAAUGGGCGAAAGCCUGAUGCAGCCAUGCGGCGUGUAUGAAGAAGGCCUUAGGGUUGUAAAGUACUUUCAGCGGGGAGGCGUUACCCGCAGAAGAAGCACCGGCUAACUCCGUGCCAGCAGCCGCGGUAAUAC